rnacentral:lncRNA from 1 species
CCUCGGUUUCUUUUCUUUCUUUCUUUCUUUUUUUUUUUGAGACGGAGUCUCGCUCUGUUGCCCAGGCUGGAGUGCAAUGGCGUGAUCUUGGCUCACUGCAACCUCUACCUCCCGGGUUCACGCGAUUCUCCUGCUUGAUUACAGGUGCGUGCCACCACGCCCAGCUAAUUUUUGUAUUUUUAGUAGAGACGGGGUUUCACCAUGUUGGUCAGGCUGGUCUCGAACUCCUGACCUCGUAAUCCAUCUGCCUCGGCCUCCCAAAGUGCUGGGAUUACAGAUGUGAGCCACCGCGCCCAGCCGAGCCUCAGUUUCUGAUUUUAAAAAUCCCCCAAACCCGGGAGCCGUCCACCAGCAGAGGUUGUACAGCUAUUUAUCACGAAUGUGUGUGUAUUUCAUACAGGAAGUGAAAUGUAUUAAAUACACAGGGCUGAAACUUGCAGUCUGAGAGGCAGGAACCUUCUGAUCCCACCGGAAAUUUCUCUCCACUCAUCCCCAGACUCUCUCAGUGGAAACCAUCCUCCUGAAGCAUGUGUGCACGCACAACACACAUGCACUCUCACACACACUCUUCACAGCCACCCCACUCCCUCACGCAUGUACACACAUUCACACCCACCCCACUCACAUACAAACUCUCACACAUACACAUGCAAACACUUGGAUACACACACCCAUGCCUAUUCUCACACACACACUCAUACACCUAUACACACAUGCACACACUCGACACACACCCUCAUGCCUAUUCACACACACCUAUACACACACACUUGACACACACCCAUGCCUAUUCUCACACACACUCACAUACCUAUACACACAUGCACACACUCGACACACCCAUGCCUAUUCUCUCACACACACUCUCGACACACCCAUGCCUAUUCUCACACACACACCUAUACACACACAUGCACACACUCAACACACCCAUGCCUAUUCUCACUCACACACCUAUAUACACACAUGCACACUCAACACACCCAUGCCUAUUCUCACACACACACCUAUACACACACAUGCACAUACUCGACACACAGCCAUGCCUAUUCUCUCACACACACGCUCACACACCUAUACACACAUGCACACACUCAACACACACGUGCUCAUCCAUAGUCACACGUUUACACAUAUGCACACAUUCGGAUACACGCACACCCGGUACCUUCACACACACAUGCACACACUCAAUACACACAUACCCAUGCACAUUCACACAUACACAUGGACACACUCAGAUACACACACACCUAUAUACCUUCACACACACAUGCACACACUCGAUAUACACAUGCUUAUGCAUAUUUGUGCGUGCACACACUCAUAUACACACACACCCAGUACCUUCACACACACGCACACAAUACACACAUACUCGUGCACAUCCACACACUUGAUACACAAUUUGCACACACAUCCAUGCACACACUUGAUACAUAAACACCCACACACAUUCACACAUUUUCACACAUGCACACACUUGAUACACACCCAUGCACAUUCACACACAGUUGAUACAUGCACACACACAAUUCACACACAUACACACACUUGAUACACCCCAAUUCACACAGACAUACACACACUUGAUACACCCCAAUUCACACAGACAUGCACACACUUGAUACACACACUUUCACACAUCCCCACACACAUGCACACACUUGAUACACACCCAUGCACAUUCACACACAGUUGAUACAUGCACACACACAAUUCACACACAUACACACACUUGAUACACCCCAAUUCACACAGACAUGCACACACUUGAUACACACACUUUCACACAUCCCCACACACAUGCACACACUUGAUACACACAUUCAUACAUUCUCACACACGCACACACUGGAUACAUACCCAUGCACAUUCAUACACAUGUACACAUGCACACACUUGAUGCACACACACCUAUGCAUAUUCACACACUCACACAUAUACAUGCACACACAACACACACACCCAUGCACAUUCACACACACAGUACACACCUCAUACACAUGCACAUGACAUACAUUCACACACUCAGGCAUACACACAUACUCUUUCACACUUCUCAACACAAAACAUACCCAUUGACACACACUCUUGCACCCACACUCAGGCACACACACAUUCAUUCCCACCCAUCUACACACACGCGCUCAUACACUUCCUGCACCGAGCAGCGCUCACCCCCUGGGAACAGAGCAGGUUUGGGGUGGAGGUGGGCUGCUGUCCUGAUUCUGUGGGCGACCCUGCACCCCUCCCACUGUGCCAUGACCCUCGCUGGCUCAAUCACUCCUUCCUGGUGCUGACUGAGGGCCACCUGAGGGCCGGCCACUGUCUAGGCAGGAGACAUGGUAGGGAGCGAGGCAGGGGAGGCCCCAUCUCCAUCUCCCUAUGCUGGAUGGGCACAGGCCUUGGCAACCCACCCACUGGCCUCUGGGUCUGGGGUCCCAGCCUCUCCGUGUCCUUAAUUUCAAUGCUUCACCCUCAACUGCUCCUCAACCAUCUGAAGGGGGGUCCUGGACCCUGCCCCUGCCAGCACCC